GCAACACAAGCAGAACAUUCAGCAGCGUGAAUGGAGUCGAGGCUUUCCAUGACUUACGUAUGGAGAGCAGUCUUUCUUACAGUAUAUGUUUUUAUGGCUUGGAGCGAUCUACGACUCGCAAGGCAUUUUCUAAAGCCAGAACAAAUAAACUGGAAAAGGUCAACAGGGAAAUGAAGUUUUAACAGAACACCAAAGUUUCUGUAUUCCUGUUGCCUGUAUUCGAGUUUGAAAGUUCAUCCAAAUGUUCUUUUAACCCAGCACACAUUCCUUCAUCUUCAGUAACUACUCUAUCUCGAUCAGAGGUGGAUUUGGAGCCAAUCCUGACAACACCUGGCUCAAGGUGGGACAGUCCACCAGUUCUCCAGCACCUAUUGGUUGAAAUAAAUUAAUGAAUGAAUAAUGAACAUCUUACACUAGGCCUCUUUAAUCAUCUAUUCACACAAGC